UACUGAAAUACCAUGAAUUUCGAUCCCCCAUUCCAAACCGUUUCAAACUGUUCAUGAGUCUGCGGGUACCCCAACCAGUGCAAGGUACACCACUGUUCUGCUGCAGCAAGCCUGUUCAACUUUUGAUGAGGGCCAAGGUAUUUCCGUUGAAAUAGAAAGGCAGAAAGCUGCUGCAAUUUAAAGUUUGGCUGCUGCAGUUGAUAAAUUGGCAAACGUUCAAUUAAUGAGUUCAAAAUUAGAGUAUGUCAAACUAAUUGAAAAUUUAGACAACUUUUGAGGACUAUUAAAUAAAUUGUAAAGAUACA